CUGAGGGCUUCGUAUAAUUAAUUCAUUUAAUUUGGAAGUCUGACUAACUUAUUUUUGCCAAGUCUCAUCAAAUUUCAGUUGGAAAUCAAGGCUUCCAGAUGAAAUGUUUGGCUUUAGUCUGUUUAUUUCACCUCUAAUAAAAUCAGGCAGAGGAAGAGAACUACCAGACCCAAAGAGGAGACAUGUGUUUAUCUCUCCCUGUUCUUAACCUUGUUUUUCCUCUUGACUUUUUCCCCCAGAGGAGCGUGCUUCAGUUGCUGCACUCCAAGAGCGACGUGGUGCGACAGUACAUGGCCAGGCUCAUCAAUGCUUUUGCGUCACUGGCAGAAGGUCGCCUCUACCUUGCCCAGAACACAAAGGUGCUGCGGAUGCUGGAGGGAAGGCUGAAGGAGGAGGACAAGGAUAUCAUCACCAGGGAGAAUGUUCUUGGGGCCCUGCAGAAGUUCAGCCUCAGGCGCCCGCUGCAGACAGCGAUGAUUCAAGACGGCCUCAUCUUCUGGCUGGUUGAUGUUCUGAAGGACCCUGACUGCCUGUCUGACUACACGCUGGAGUACUCGGUGGCUUUGCUCAUGAACCUCUGCCUCCGCAGCACAGGGAAGAACAUGUGUGCCAAGGUGGCAGGCCUCGUGCUCAAAGUCCUUUCGGAUCUUCUUGGCCAUGAAAACCAUGAGAUACAGCCGUAUGUGAAUGGAGCUCUGUACAGCAUCCUUUCUGUUCCAUCCAUUCGUGAGGAAGCAAGAGCAAUGGGAAUGGAAGACAUCCUACGCUGCUUCAUCAAAGAAGGCAAUGCUGAAAUGAUCCGUCAGAUAGAAUUCAUCAUCAAGCAGCU
rnacentral:sRNA from 1 species